rnacentral:rRNA from 1 species
UACGAAGGGGGCUAGCGUUGCUCGGAAUCACUGGGCGUAAAGCGCACGUAGGCGGAUUGUUAAGUCAGGGGUGAAAUCCUGGAGCUCAACUCCAGAACUGCCUUUGAUACUGGCGAUCUCGAGUCCGGGAGAGGUGAGUGGAACUGCGAGUGUAGAGGUGAAAUUCGUAGAUAUUCGCAAGAACACCGGUGGCGAAGGCGGCAUCCUGGACCGGCAUUGACGCUGAGGCGCGAAAGCCAGGGGAGCAAAGCGGG